CAGCCUCCUCCACUGCCAGGGAUGCGCCGGGCCACACGGGAGCCACGCUGGUUUGCCCGGCCCGCUGCCAGCCAGCUGUGUGCCAGGAUGCUGACGGCCGGGGCCACCGCCUCCCAUCUGUCUCUGCUCCCAGGUGGCGGCUAUUUUUAGAGCCAAGGCUUCGCAGCCUGGAUGCAAGCAAGGCUUCGGAGUGGUGGCAGGCAACAGGAGGAAGGCAUCGCUGAGGGUCCCUUUUGUGCUGAGAAGGGGCAAGGGCUCCCGAGGGUGCCCAGCAGCAGGCGGCGUCCAGCCGGGCAGAGGGAAACGCCCGUCCGGCAGGGGGUGCACCCAGGACGAGAAGAGCACCUCUACUCUGUAGAUCGGUCACAAGCUGUGAUCGUUGCAGCUAGAGCAACCACCUUGGAACCAUGAGGCAACAAGCCAGCACUCAGGGGACGGCAGAGCACGAGGAUGGGAAGAGCCGGGGUCCCUGAUGACAUCAUCGGCUCACGGCACCUAAUCCAGCACCACCUUCUCCAGUUCCAGAAAAUAUAUGUGACUGUCUGUUAAA